rnacentral:rRNA from 1 species
UACGUAGGUCCCGAGCGUUGUCCGGAUUUAUUGGGCGUAAAGCGAGCGCAGGUGGUUUAUUAAGUCUGGUGUAAAAGGCAGUGGCUCAACCAUUGUAUGCAUUGGAAACUGGUAGACUUGAGUACAGGAGAGGAGAGUGGAAUUCCAUGUGUAGCGGUGAAAUGCGUAGAUAUAUGGAGGAACACCGGUGGCGAAAGCGGCUCUCUGGCCUGUAACUGACACUGAGGCUCGAAAACGUGGGGAGCAAACAGG